rnacentral:rRNA from 1 species
UACGUAGGGUGCGAGCGUUACUCGGAAUUACUGGGCGUAAAGCGUGCGUAGGCGGUUCGUUAAGUCCGUUGUGAAAGCCCUGGGCUCAACCUGGGAAUGGCAGUGGAUACUGGGCGAGCUAGAGUGUGAUAGAGGAUGGUGGAAUUCCCGGUGUAGCGGUGAAAUGCGUAGAGAUCGGGAGGAACACCAGUGGCGGAAGGCGGCCAUCUGGAUCAACACUGACGCUGAGGCACGAAAGCGUGGGGAGCAAACAGG